UAUAGUUUUGUGUGGUUUUU
rnacentral:miRNA from 1 species